ensembl:lncRNA
GGGGAAACGUUUCUCAGUUUAGAAAGUAAUAAUGCAGCUUAAUUGUAGUGGCAGCUGGCAGCGUGAGGCAAAGUGAGGUGACGCCCAAUUACUGCACUUGGCAGCUGUUUGCUCUGCUGAGUGUACUGAUGGAGGGUGGCAGGCUCCUUCCAGCAGGCGGGUUGGAGAUGAAGACUGGGAGAUGCACCAGGAGGGAGAUCCCUCUGAUCCCAAACAGAGGGGUGGGGAACUCCGAGCUGCUCCCAAAGGGACCGGGCAGAAAAAGGCAAGGCAAGGAAGCCCAUCUGAGAAUGGAGACCAAUUCCAUCUUCAGGAAAGACCCAGCUUCUGAAACUACUUAAAAAGCUUUUGAUCAAAGAUGUACAGUGGUGCUGACAGAACACAGAAGAGUUUUUGCUAGGGAAAGCCAUCAUUAAUUAUCAG